rnacentral:pre_miRNA from 1 species
GCCCAGGACACCAUUGUGCUUGAUCUAACCAUGCAGUGCUUCUCCUGUACAUGGUUUUGCCAAGCACUUUGGAGGCUUGUGAGCA